AACUUCUUUCUAUAAAAAUGUUACUCUAAACUUAGUGUUAUUUAUUCUUUCCUCACAGAUACUAUACUUGCCUGGGAGGUUCCUUGGGAACUGCUUAAAGCAGUUUAUUGAAAACUCACGAAUGCCUAAUCAGAUGAUUCUG
rnacentral:lncRNA from 12 species